GAUGAACGCUGGCGGCGUGCCUAAUACAUGCAAGUCGAGCGGACGGACGAGAAGCUUGCUUCUCUGAUGUUAGCGGCGGACGGGUGAGUAACACGUGGAUAACCUACCUAUAAUACUGGGAUAACCUCGGGAAAGCGGAGCUAAUACCGGAUAAUAUUUUGAACCGCAUGGUUCAAAAGUGAGAGACGGUCUUGCUGUCACUUAUAGAUGGAUACGCGCUGCAUUAGCUAGUUGGUAAGGUAAAGGCUUAUCAAGGCAACGAUGCAUAGCCGACCUGAGAGGGUGAUCGGCCACACUGGAACGGAGACACGGUCCAGACUCCUACGGGAGGCAGCAGGAGGGAAUCUUCCGCAAUGGGCGAAAGCCUGACGGAGCAACGCCGCGUGAGUGAUGAAGGUCUUCGGAUCGUAAAACUCUGUUAUUAGGGAAGAACAUUUGUGUAAGUAACUGUGCACGUCUUGACGGUACCUAAUCAGAAAGCCACGGCUAACUACGUG
rnacentral:rRNA from 1 species